UGGGGUAUAUUGCACAAUGGUCGCAAGCCUGAUGCAGCCAUGCCGCGUGUAUGAAGAAGGCCUUCGGGUUGUAAAGUACUUUCAUCGGGGAGGAAGGGAGUAAAGUUAAUACCUUUGCUCAUUGACGUUACCCGCAGAAGAAGCACCGGCUAACUCCGUGCCAGCAGCCGCGGUAAUACGGAGGGUGCAAGCGUUAAUCGGAAUUACUGGGCGUAAAGCGCACGCAGGCGGUUUGUUAAGUCAGGUGUGAAAUCCCCGGGCUCAACCUGGGAACUGCAUCUGAUACUGGCAAGCUGGAGUCUCGUAGAGGGGGGUAGCAUUCCAGGUGUAGCGGUGAAAUGCGUAGAGAUCUGGAGGAAUACCGGUAGCGAAGGCGGCCCCCUGGACGAAGACUGACGCUCAGGUGCGAAAGCGUGGGGAGCAAACAGG
rnacentral:rRNA from 1 species